UUCCCCAAAUUUCACAAAAUGCACAACCUCUUUCUCUCCUCUCUCUCUCGUCGCCGAUCCGCCGCCCUUCCAGCGGCGGCGCCCCCUUCUUUCUCCAUUUUCUCUCUCCCUCUCGGUCAGAUUUGCCGCACCGCCGCAACCGCUGCGGGCACGACGACGCACCACCACCACCACCGUGCGCAGCACAGUCUCCGCUGUCAUCUCCAGAUUUUCCCGUCGUUCAGACCAGCCGCCGUCGUCACGAAUCCUCCGUCGCGGAUCCGCCGUCGUCGGCUACUUCCUCCAUCAUCUUCUCCUCUCCAUUCCUCUCUCUCGGCUCCCCCCUCUCUUCUCUCUCGGAUCUGCCGCCAUUACGCCGACUUCCGAGAGGAGGAAACUCGGUUCAAGCUCGUGGUGUCCGCGUUAAAGUACCCGCUUUCUUAAAACAUACAUUGUAUAAAUUAAACUUUGUUGGAUGUAUCGGACAUUAAAAUUCUGAUUAUGGGACUUUAUUUAUUUA